CGGCGGACGGGUGAGUAACACGUGGGUAAUCUGCCUUAUACAGGGGGAUAACAGUUAGAAAUGGCUGCUAAUACCGCAUAAGCGCACGGAAACGCAUGUUUCAGUGUGAAAAACUCCGGCAGUAUAAGAUGAGCCCGCGUCUGAUUAGCUUGUUGGUGGGGUAACGGCCUACCAAGGCGACGAUCAGUAGCCGGCCUGAGAGGGUGAACGGCCACAUUGGGACUGAGACACGGCCCAAACUCCUACGGAAGGCAGCAG
rnacentral:rRNA from 1 species